rnacentral:rRNA from 1 species
UACGUAGGGUGCGAGCGUUGUCCGGAAUUACUGGGCGUAAAGCGCACGUAGGCGGACCAGCAAGUUAGGGGUGAAAUCCUGGGGCUCAACCCCGGAACUGCCUUUAAAACUGUUGGUCUGGAGGUCGAGAGAGGUGAGUGGAAUUCCGAGUGUAGAGGUGAAAUUCGUAGAUAUUCGGAGGAACACCAGUGGCGAAGGCGGCUCACUGGCUCGAUACUGACGCUGAGGUGCGAAAGCGUGGGGAGCAAACAGG